rnacentral:rRNA from 1 species
GUCGAGCGGACCGACGGGAGCUUGCUCCCUUAGGUCAGCGGCGGACGGGUGAGUAACACGUGGGUAACCUGCCUGUAAGACUGGGAUAACUCCGGGAAACCGGGGCUAAUACCGGAUGCUUGAUUGAACCGCAUGGUUCAAUCAUGAAAGGCGGCUUCGGCUGCCGUUUACAGAUGGACCCGCGGCGCAUUAGCUAGUUGGUGAGGUAACGGCUCACCAAGGCGACGAUGCGUAGCCGACCUGAGAGGGUGAUCGGCCACACUGGGACUGAGACACGGCCCAGACUCCUACGGGAGGCAGCAGUAGGGAAUCUUCCGCAAUGGACGAAAGUCUGACGGAGCAACGCCGCGUGAGUGAUGAAGGUUUUCGGAUCGUAAAGCUCUGUUGUUAGGGAAGAACAAGUACCGUUCGAAUAGGGCGGUACCUUGACGGUACCUAACCAGAAAGCCACGGCUAACUACGUGCCAGCAGCCGCGGUAAUACGUAGGUGGCAAGCGUUGUCCGGAAUUAUUGGGCGUAAAGCGCGCGCAGGCGGUUUCUUAAGUCUGAUGUGAAAGCCCCCGGCUCAACC